CGAGUACUACUUGAUCGUUAUUUGGUGAAUAUUUAGCGUGAUCUGUCCACAAGGAUCCAGGUUAACGAGGGAUAGAGUCAACGACAAAGGUUUAAGUUUCCGGAGAAAGACGAUCCAAAAUGUAGUUGUCUACCAAACAAUCCUCAAAUCCACAAGGAGGUACAUUUUGCCUACAAACAGUGAGAUUCUUCAACGUUCUGCGCCGGAUCUCAGGUCAUUCAACUUAUAGGUUGCCAGAGACUGAGUAUAAGUUGCCGACCUUUCUUGAUCACGUAGAGCCAAAGUGCAAACGAGAG